AGAGCCCUGGAGAGUUUGUGGAGUUCUGCCUGCACCAGGUGACCCCACCCUGGUGGUCACGGAGCAACAGGACAGCCUGACUGACACCCAAAUUCAACUCACAAGUUGCAAUUCCUGUUCAUCAGUUUCCCUCUCAUUCUUCCAUCUGCCUCUGGUGAGUUCUGCCAGUGAGUGAUAAGAUGUUCAAAUGCCACCUUUCUAUCAGAGGGUGGUGCCCAUUAGAGUCAAGAUCUGGAACUGAUCCUGCAAAAGGAACUUCAGGCCCUGGUAGAGUGAGCCUGGCCAACAUCAAAUAACAGAGAAUCUGCCCUGCUGCUGGGGCUGCUGUCUGUGAAGCCUGAGGGAGGAGUCGAACAGGUUAGCGUCCUGCGAUUGGGAAUGUCCAAGAAAACCCGGCGGAGGGGCCAGGCCCUGACCCUGCCACUCAUGUCAGAGUGAAGAACAGAUCCAGUGAUGAAGAAGAUGGUGGGUUUCCCAGAAUUCUUCACAUCCAAGUCCCUCAUCCUCCUCCUCUUCUUUCUCCAACUGCUCACCCUCGGCUCAGCUCAGUUUUCUGUGAUUGGACCUGCGGAGCCUAUCCUGGCCCUGGAGGGGAAAGAUGUUGAGUUACCUUGUCACCUGAAGCCCAAGAUGAAUGCUGAGUCUAUGGAGGUGAGGUGGUUCCGAUCCCAACCCUCUGACAUUGUGCAUCUGUAUGAGAACAGAAAGGACCGGUUUCAACAGCAGAUGGAAGAGUAUCAUAAGAGGACAAAGUUGGUGACUGACGCCAUGGAUUAUGGGAGUGUGGCUGUGAGAGUAUACAAUGUCACAGUCUCAGAUGAGGGACAGUAUCGCUGUUCUUUCUAUAAUGGUCAAGUGAGUGAAGUUGCCACUCUGGAGCUUCAGGUGGUUGCUCCACUCUUCCCGAUGGCUUUGUCCUUGAUGGUGGCCCUGGGUGUGACCAUCCCUCUGUUAGGACUGCUCAUCGCUGGGGGUCUUUAUCUCAUCUGGAAACAGAACAGGGACAAAGGUAAAGAGCAAGAAUAUUCCUGUGACAUGUCCAUCAUUGCAGGGAAAUCAGGGAGGCAAAUUGUGGAGGUGGAGGGCAGACAGACAAGUUAGAGGUCAGUGGUCCCAAAUGCCCAGGGAAGGCACCAACCCACAGUUCCACCCUCUCACCAAUGACCCACAACUGGACAUUCCAUUUCCCCCCAGAGAAAGGACAGAAUGAUCUUGUGUCUGUGCCAACUGUCACAUAUGGGAGAGGGAAGACCAUAGAGAGUAAACACCCCAUCUCUUACCUCUCCAGUUCAGACCAAAGCCCACCACUCCCUAUCCCCAUCCUGCCAUCCAGUUCCUUGAGUGCAACCACAAUCCUAGCAGAGCAGUGAGAUCAGAGUUCUGGAAGAUACUGGCUGAUAAUCAACCAGCUUUUCCUGGAGAUUCCAGGGACAAUAGUGAUCAUUCAGGAGCCAUGGAUCAUUCCCUGGGCAGUGGGGAUACUGUCCAUGGGGCCAUUUCCUCUGCUGUAUAUUCCAGAAAUAGACUCCUCCUAUUCCAACACCUCUCCUCUCAGUCCAACCCAAGUUUUCCAAUCUGGAGGGUACCUGACUUAUUUCUGUUCCUUUUCAGAGAAACUCCUGAUUGAGCUCAGCUGGAGCCAGGCCCAGUUACACAAGGGUAAGUGACCCUGACAUUCUCUGUGGUCUCUCCUUCCUUCCAUCCCAGGGGUCAUGGACCUUCAGGGCUCCUUCCUGAGAGCCAGACACCAGACUCUUCCCGGAACCCUCUCCUUCUCCCUGCUGCUCUCAGUGGCCCCAGAAGCCUAGUGGAAUGGUUGAAUCAGAGUUGAGGGAUACACAGGAGCUAAAGCCCCAAGCAGCAAUUGGGGAUCUCUAGUAGAGACUGGGGAAUCCUGGGUACUGAGCCCUGGGGGAAAGGCAGAGUGCAGUUUGAUGACAUCAUGUUCCUUGUUUUGUUGGGGAGGGUCAGGUCUCAGCCUCCAGACAGGUUCUAUGUGAGUGUGGCAGUGCCUGGUGGUGGGAGGGGGGUGGUGUCCCACAGGGUGGGUGCAACAACUCCAGAGUGGCCCCACACACAGAACUGUUUGGAUCAGUGGAUAGGGUCCGGGGUUGGUCCCGGGCUCCAUCCUACCUUAUGAGGGCCCCUCAACCCUGGGCCCUCCAGCACUGACCACUGACUGUGGGACUCUCUCUGCAGUGGACAUC